UAGAGUGGCGAACGGGUGAGUAACACGUGACCAACCUGCCUCUUACAUUGGGACAACCAAAAGAAAUUCUGGCUAAUACCAAAUACUCCGCACAUAUCACAUGAUGUAUGCGGGAAAGCUUUUGCGGUAAGAGAUGGGGUCGCGGCCCAUUAGGUAGACGGCGGGGUAGAAGCCCACCGUGCCGAUGAUGGGUAGCCGGGUUGAGAGACCGACCGGCCACAUUGGGACUGAGACACGGUCCAAACUCCUACGGGAGGCAGCAGAC
rnacentral:rRNA from 1 species